AUUGAACGCUGGCGGAAUGCUUUACACAUGCAAGUCGAACGGUAGAGGGGGCAACCCCUCGAGAGUGGCGAACGGGUGAGUAAUAUAUCGGAACGUGCCCAGUCGUGGGGGAUAACGUAGCGAAAGUUACGCUAAUACCGCAUACGAUCUAAGGAUGAAAGCGGGGAUCGCAAGACCUCGCGCGAUUGGAGCGGCCGAUAUCAGAUUAGGUAGUUGGUGGGGUAAAGGCUCACCAAGCCAACGAUCUGUAGCUGGUCUGAGAGGACGACCAGCCACACUGGAACUGAGACACGGUCCAGACUCCUACGGGAGGCAGCAGUGGGGAAUUUUGGACAAUGGACGCAAGUCUGAUCCAGCCAUUCCGCGUGCAGGAUGAAGGCCCUCGGGUUGUAAACUGCUUUUGUACGGAACGAAAAGGUCUCUCUUAAUACGGGGGGCUCAUGACGGUACCGUAAGAAUAAGCACCGGCUAACUACGUGCCAGCAGCCGCUGUAA
rnacentral:rRNA from 1 species